CUUGCUUUUCCAGGUCAAGACCGUGAAAAUCCCUCAAAAAACGUGGCAUCUCGAGCCUAUGGGGAACAGCUCCCUGUUUAGGUGAGAUGCAAAUCGUAAUCAACCACCCAGGACACGUGGGUGAGCGUCCUCAAUCCAUGUGUGGGGUGGUAUUGGCCAAACCGGAUCAGCCUUUUCCGUGAGAAAGAUGAGAAAGAAGAAUAGAAUGAAAUAAGAGAGGAAGACGACUGGAGGCCCCGGGCCACCAGGCAAUUGCUGUUUACUGAGCACAUAAUAUACGUCAGGCAAAUUGGACCUUUGAAGUGUCAGAAGAAUUCAGCAAGAAGGAAAAUGUGGAUGACUUUAGUCCUACCCUCCAAGGGAGUAGGUUAUCGGAUGAGCAGAACUGUGUCAAACAGACAGAAAUCUCCGACAAAAGGGUCAAUGCCCAGAGCCUGAGCCUGAAGUGGAGCAGAUCCUGCCAUAGCCGUAGCUGGGCAGCAGCAGGAGGAGACAAAGAGAGAAGAAGGUGUGGAGCUGGAAGAAGACCUGAAGUGUAGAAGAUCUGGGAGGAGAUGAGGGAGUGAAACCAUCAUUAGAAUACAUUGUAUGAAAAUAUUGUAUGAAAAAGGAAAUAUGCCCUGCAAUGCAGCCAGGCCUAAGUUGUUCAUGCAGGUAUUGUCUUCAGUUACGUGUGUGUCAUAGCAGCAAAGACCCUGAAUAUUUGCCAUCUGGUGAUGACCUUCCUGACCUUUUCCUUGCUGAUCCUCUUUUUCCAGAAUAAUGUCCUUUUAAGUAGCCACAUUUGUCCUGUAUUAUGUCUCCAUAUGUUAAAAUCUUUCAACUUUGUCCAAUCCCCGACCUGAACUGAUAGGACACCUCCCUGAUGCCCACUGGCCAUGUGAGUAUGGUCCUUAACGUCUCCAGCUUCUCCUGAGUUUCUAAAAUUCACCAUAAUUUCCCCCUUGGAAUCCUACUAAUAAUUUCUGCAUAAAUUUACAUGGAAAUUUGUUUUACAUAUAGUAUUAAAUCUUAAUGUUUUCAAGCAGUGGGGCUGAGUGGCUAGACAUAUGAAACAGUAAAUACUUGGCGUCUUAUUCGCCUGAGGUAUCAGGAGGUUGAUAACCUCCAGAGGAGAAAACGAAACUGGAACACUUCAGUUGGUGAGGAUGAGCAGAAAAUGGAAUUCUUAGAUACAGGUGGUAGAAAUGUGCAUUAGUGUGGUGUGACAGAAAGCAGCACCUAGGGUCUUUGGCAGAUUAAAAUGAGAACUCACGUGUGAUCCAUUGAUCUGACUAACUGGGUAAGCACAUAAAGUAAACGGACUCACUAUGACAUUCCCGUGUUCAUGUGAGCACCCAUGCUUGUGGCAGCACUAGUCACAAAGAAAUGUGGUACAGACACGCAAUGCUAAUACCAUUUGGUCACAAAAAUAAAUGGAAUUCUGCGAUUUUUGACAACAGAAAUGAACCUUGAAGACAUCGUGGUACAUGAAAUAAGGCAGGCACAGGAAGAUGAAUUCUACAUUAUCUCAUUUAUCAGAAGAUGUUAUCACAUGGAAGCAGAAGGUAGAAAGAUGACCACUGGCGGCCGGUACUCAAAGGAGAUUGGAAUAUAGAAUAUGUUGGCGUUCCACUGUGCACACUUACCCCUUGGGUCCAAACCCUGGUCUUGUCAUGUACUGCUCUAAGUGAAUUCUUCGUAAUUCAGUCUCUCAGAAGAUGGAGGUACGACUGCAAAAUGUUCCAUUAUAAACACAGCAUACUUAAGACAGUGCUAAGGAAGCACUGCACAUUUUAUUACUUUUAAUUUCCUUCACUUUGUCAACCUGUAUUUUUAAAGAGCUAACACUCUUUCCUCUCUACAUUCCAGCUGAACUCCCUAUUCCUCCAUUGCUUGGCUCCCUGUCUUUCAUUGUUUCUACCCAUGUCAGCGGCUGUAUUAACUGUGUCUCAUAAAUCUUCUCUCUUCUUUGUUUGCUUAUUUACUAAAUGACAUCUGUAAUAUUUUAGCGUGUGAUGUUUUGUUAUAUGUACAUGCUGUGAAAUAUCUAGAGUUUAUGAUUAUGCAUUCCUCAUACUCUUAUGAGAUAAACUGCUUGAAAUCCAUUCUUCUAGCAAUAUUCAAGUACACAAAAGAUUACUGACGAUAUACUGUAUAACCACCAUGAUAUACAUUACAUCUUGGACUUCUCCUAACUGAAAUUUUAUAGUGUCUGGCAAGCAUCUCCCCAGUCAGACCUUCCAUCUCCCAGAUUAUGAUAGCCACCAUUCCUCCUCUCUGACAUACAACUCUUAAUCAUGUCAUUUUACACCUGGCUUAUUUCACUUAACAUAAUCAUCUCCAGUAUCAACCAUGUUGUAAUAAAUGACAGAAUUUCAUCUUUUCAUAAUUGAAUAAUAGUUUACAUCUGUACCCAUUGAUAGACACUUUGGUUGCUUCCAUGUCUUGGCAACUGAAAAUAGGGCUAUAAUGAACAUAGUAAUGGAGUUACUAUUUGCAUAUUGAUUUCAUUUCUUUAAAAUAUAUACCCAGUAGCGGGUGACUGCCUGACUAUGUGGUAGUUCUAGCUUUAGCCUUUUGAGUCACCUGCUUAUUGCUUUCUAUAUGGCUGUACCCAUUUACAUUUUUAUCAAUAUGCAAAACUUUCCUUUUAUCCUCACAGACAUUUUAUGUUUCUUGAAUAUUCAUUGACUUGUUUACUCAUUUGUUUAUUUUUAUUUUAUAGUGCUUAGGGUUAAAUUUAGAGCUUUGUAUAUGAUAAUGACAAAGCAUACCAUUGAAUUAUGAUCAACCUAUUUAAAUUUUAAUAAUAUUCAUCCUGAGAUGUGUUAUGUGAAAUCUCAUUACAGUUUAAUUUACAUUUCUCUGAUGAUCAGUGAUAUUCAUAAUUUUAGUCUCAAAUUUAAAUCUUUCAUUCACUUUGAGUAGAUUGUUGCAUAUAAGAUAAGGGAAAAUUUCAUUCUCCUGAGUAUAGAGACUCGAGCCUUCUAAUACCAUUUUUGAAAAGGCUGUCAUUUCGCUAUUGUUUAUUCUUGGUAUCUUUAUCAGAAAGCAAUUGGCUGUGGAUGUAAAGCUUUAUUCUUGGGCUCUCUCUUCUGUUCCUUUAGUCGAUGUGUUUUCUAUGCAAUUCUAUCAAAAGUUUGUAUCAAACCUUGAUGUUUUGAUAAUCUUAGGUUUUCGAUAUCCUUGUCUCUCAUCUUUCAUAGAAUGCAGCUCCAAAUGGAUCAAAAACUUGAACCUAAGACUCAGUGUCCUGAAUCUGGGAGGAUAAAGCAAGGAAUAUACUUGAAAUGAUUGGCAUAAUAAAGGACACUCUGAACAAGAUCUCUCUGUAAUAGACAUUCAGACUAACAAUUAAUAAAUGGAACUUCACAAAAUUAAAACACUUCUUAGAGCAGAGGACCCAUCAUUCAAGUGAAGAGGCAGGCUACAGAAUGGGGAAAAAUAUCUUAGCCUUUUAU